CUCCUCACCUACCCAUCACUGCGCUGACAUUUUGGCAGAAGAAGCUAGUACCCAAAAUGAUCUGAAUGGCCUGGGAGUCUGAGCUGGUAUAUGGAUGGCAGCAGUUUCGUGGUUGAAGGAAAUUGUUCCAGGACGUGAGUCAUCGUAGGGGAUUUUGUUCAUUUGGGGUGUGGCAACAGAUCCAUUACAUCACAGUAUGUGUCUUUCCCUGCCACUGCUACCGCUGGUCCCAUGGAAACCAACCUUCGCUCCCACCGAGGUUUGUGGUGCAGCAGCUCGUCAACAGGGAGGAUCACACCUCUAGGUCUCUCUUGUUAUUAUAUUUAAAA